rnacentral:rRNA from 1 species
CCUACGGGAGGCAGCAGUGAGGAAUAUUGGUCAAUGGACGAGAGUCUGAACCAGCCAAGUAGCGUGAAGGAUGACUGCCCUAUGGGUUGUAAACUUCUUUUAUAAAGGAAUAAAACGAGGCACGUGUGCCUUUUUGCAUGUACUUUAUGAAUAAGGAUCGGCUACCUCCGUGCCAGCAGCCGCGGUAAUACGGAGGAUCCGAGCGUUAUCCGGAUUUAUUGGGUUUAAAGGUAUCGUAGAUGGGUUGUUAAGUCAGGUGUGAAAUUUUGCGGUUCAACCGUAAAAUUGCAAUUGAUACUGGCAGUCUUGAGUACAGUUGAGGUAGGCGGAAUUCGUGGUGUAGCGGUGAAAUGCUUAGAUAUCACGAAGAACCCCGAUUGCGAAGGCAGCUUACUAAACUGUGACUGACAUUGAUGCUCGAAAGUGUGGGUAUCAAACAGGAUUAGAUACCCUUGUAGUC